UUGGAGGGCAAGUCUGGUGCCAGCAGCCGCGGUAAUUCCAGCUCCAAUAGCGUAUAUUAAAGUUGUUGCAGUUAAAAAGCUCGUAGUUGAAUUUCGGGGUUAGUAGGUUGGUCAUGCCUCUGGUAUGUACUGGUCUCACUGAUUCCUCCUUCCUGGUGAACCUUAAUGCCAUUAAUUUGGUGUUUUGGGGAAUUUGGACUGUUACUUUGAAAAAGUUAGAGUGUUUAAAGCAAGCUAACGCUUGAAUACAUUAGCAUGGAAUAAUGAAAUAGGACGUUCGAUCCUAUUUUGUUGGUUUCUAGGAUUGACGUAAUGAUUAAUAGGGAUAGUUGGGGGCAUUAGUACUCAAUUGUCAGAGGUGAAAUUCUUGGAUUUAUUGAAGACUAACUACUGCGAAAGCAUUUGCCAAGGGUGUUUUCAUUAAUCAAGAACGAAAGUUAGGGGAUCGAAGACGAUCAGAUACCGUCGUAGUCUUAACCGUAAACUAUGCCGACUAGGGAUCGGAUGAUGUUAAUUUUUUAAUGACUCAUUCGGCGCCUUACGGGAAACCAAAGUGUUUGGGUUC
rnacentral:rRNA from 1 species